rnacentral:lncRNA from 1 species
GUAAAAUCAUACAUGUUUUGAAAAGCUUAGUCCUUUUUCCUCAUACCAAUCAAACAAUGAAGUCAUGGUUUUGAGAAAAAGGAAAAAGAAUUUUUCUUUGCUUUGCAGGCAAAGGAGAAAGGCAGAGGUUUCUAUCCUAGAGUCUGUGACUCUUCCCUUCAGGGGUAACAGAGGGCUUUUUAAAGAGGUGAUUCAAAGGCUUCAUUUUAGGUGUUCCUUGUCAGUGGUCAUAAUUCACUUUGGCCUUGAAAUAUAGCCAUUUCUUAGGUCUUCUGUUUCUUCAUUCCUGUGGUGUGUGUGAUGAAGGACAGAUAACUCUGCUUAGGAUGGAAGGAAGGGUAAUCUUGCUUCCCCAAAGUCAGGAAGGGAGAGGAGAAGAGAAAGAAAGAGAAUUUAAAAAUAAGCUGCACUGGUAGAGAACUAAGGGUUAUGUUCAAAGCAUGAAGAAGACCACUGCUUCAUACCCAGCAGAAGUUCAAGACCAAAUAUCUUAAUUCUAAUGUUUUUUGUCUUUUAGAGAAAAUCAGAAAUUCAACAUUAUGCAGUCCUGUUGUCUUUUAGUUUAAUAACUCCUUUCUUAAUUUAUCUCUCUCCAUUCACAUUUUAUUAAAACCAGCAAGAAGAAAUCAGGAGACCUCUUCAAAAUUUUGCCUUAGAGGAUCCUUACCUACAUAAUCAAUUUUAUCGCUUAUCAGUUCUGCUGUAUACAUAACCCCAGGACAUAAUUUUUCCAGGCUUUCUACUACAUAAAACAAGAAUCUCCUUUCUUCUGGUUGCACUGCCACGUUCCUCCCUUUUUUUUCCAAGUUCUUCCUUUUUUCUAUAGUUCCUCUCUAUAGCAACUUUAGAAUCUAGGUUUCUAUUUAUAGUCUAUUCAAGGUAAUUUCAAUUUUCAUGCUCUUCCAAAUUCUUCUAGUCUCCAGGCAUUCACCUGACUCCAAAUAUGUUGCCAUGUUUCAAGGUAUUUGUUCAGCAGUACCCAACUGCUUGUUGCUAAAAGUAUGUAUUUUAUAAUGCUUUGUUACAAGU